rnacentral:misc_RNA from 1 species
GAUGAAGAACGCAGCGAAAUGCGAUAAGUAAUGUGAAUUGCAGAAUUCAGUGAAUCAUCGAAUCUUUGAACGCACAUUGCGCCCCUUGGUAUUCCGGGGGGCAUGCCUGUUCGAGCGUCAUUUCAACCCUCAAGCUCAGCUUGGUAUUGAGUCCAUGUCAGUAAUGGCAGGCUCUAAAAUCAGUGGCGGCGCCGCUGGGUCCUGAACGUAGUAAUAUCUCUCGUACAGGUUCUCGGUGUGCUUCUGCCAAAACCCAAAUUUUCUAUGGUUGACCUCGGAUCAGGUAGGGAUACCCGCUGAACUUAAGCAUAUCAAUAAGCGGAGGA